AUCUAGAUCUACUCUCGGUCAAUAAUGGCAAUGAAGUCUUAGCCAGGAAUAAAAGUCAGAGUCAGACAUCAAAAAUUUCUAAACCGAUAUAGGGUUUAGAUCUCGGUUUAGAACCGAAGCUUUACUUUCUAGGUCUAGAUAGAUCGAGAGUCCAUCGUUAGUCUAACGUUAGAUCUAGACCUAAUUUAGAUACAUGAAUGCUGUCGCACAGCACUGAGUCUCGUUGGACUAGAUCUAUACUUUCUUACAAAUAGAUCUAGACCUAGUGCAUGAGAUUAUGAAAUUAUGUUAAAAUCAAAUGAAAUAAGAUUCGGAAAUAAAAAGAUCCAGAUUUUUUUUUUUUUUUUGGGGGGGGGGGGCAGACAUGUGAAAAAAUUUAGAGAAACCUAAAAUUCAGAAAGCGAGGGCCAGAAGCGACCAAUAUUACCUAGGGCCGUUUUGUGCAUUUUCUAAAGUAAAAUUGAAGGAUGUCAUGCAAUUCUCUUUUUGAUGAAGGUUUCACAUUUCAGCUCUUACCCAAGCCCCUCCCCCUAAACAUACGACCAUGAAAAAGAUCACUUCUUAUUAUUGUUCUCUCUUUUCUUUCACAAACAGGUUGAAUUUGAAGAACAAGAACAACAGUAGAGGUCUACCUAUAUGGUUCAAGAUGAUGAUCAUAAGUGCAUGCAUCAUUUUGCAGAUUCUCAUCCAGGAUGAUGCAGUUUUAUAAUUUCCAUGGAGGUGAUUGAUGAUGAUAAAUAAUUGGUGAAGUAGGCCUAAUAGAACAGCGACUAGACCACAAAGAGAAAUACAACCUACAGCAGUUAUAUGAGACUGGUGUAACAGAUGUUUUCAUUCAAGAAAUCCAACAAUUCAAGAGUCUGACUUAGGAACCACUUGAUGAAGAUGGAAAAGGGUUUUUUUUUCCAAGUCCAAUUUUUC